UGACGGUACCAUAUGAAUAAGCAUCGGCUAACUCCGUGCCAGCAGCCGCGGUAAUACGGAGGAUGCGAGCGUUAUUCGGAAUCAUUGGGUUUAAAGGGUCUGUAGGCGGGCUAUUAAGUCAGGGGUGAAAGGUUUCAGCUUAACUGAGAAAUUGCCUUUGAUACUGGUAGUCUUGAAUAUCUGUGAAGUCCUUGGAAUGUGUAGUGUAGCGGUGAAAUGCUUAGAUAUUACACAGAACACCGAUUGCGGAGGCAGGGGACUAACAGACGAUUGACGCUGAGAGACGAAAGCGUGGGGAGCGAACAGGAUUAGAUACCCUGGUAGUCCACGCUGUAAACGAUGGAUACUAGCUGUUUGGAGUAAUUUGAGUGGCUAAGCGAAAGUGAUAAGUAUCCCACCUGGGGAGUACCCACGCAAGUGUGAAACUCAAAGGAAUUGACGGGGGCCCGCACAAG
rnacentral:rRNA from 1 species